rnacentral:rRNA from 1 species
UACGUAGGGUGCGAGCGUUAAUCGGAAUUACUGGGCGUAAAGCGCGCGCAGGCGGCUUAGCAAGUCAGGGGUGAAAGCCCGGGGCUCAACCUCGGAACUGCCUUUGAGACUGCUAGGCUCGAGACCGAGAGAGGAGAGUGGAAUUCCCAGUGUAGAGGUGAAAUUCGUAGAUAUUGGGAAGAACACCAGUGGCGAAGGCGGCUCUCUGGCUCGGUACUGACGCUGAGGCGCGAAAGCGUGGGGAGCAAACAGG